UCCGUAGUGAACCUGCGGAAGGAUCAUUACCGAGUGUAGGGUUCCUAGCGAGCCCAACCUCCCACCCGUGUUUACUGUAACCUUAGUUGCUUCGGCGGGCCCGCCGUUUACGGCCGCCGGGGGGCAUCAGCCCCCGGGCCCGCGCCCGCCGGAGACACCACGAACUCUGUCUGAUCUAGUGAAGUCUGAGUUGAUUGUAUCGCAAUCAGUUAAAACUUUCAACAAUGGAUCUCUUGGUUCCGGCAUCGAUGAAGAACGCAGCGAAAUGCGAUAACUAGUGUGAAUUGCAGAAUUCCGUGAAUCAUCGAGUCUUUGAACGCACAUUGCGCCCCCUGGUAUUCCGGGGGGCAUGCCUGUCCGAGCGUCAUUGCUGCCCAUCAAGCACGGCUUGUGUGUUGGGUCGUCGUCCCCUCUCCGGGGGGGACGGGCCCCAAAGGCAGCGGCGGCACCGCGUCCGAUCCUCGAGCGUAUGGGGCUUUGUCACCCGCUCUGUAGGCCCGGCCGGCGCUUGCCGAACGCAAAACAACCAUUCUUUCCAGGUUGACCUCGGAUCAGGUAGGGAUACCCGCUGAACUUAAGCAUAUCAAUAAGCGGAGGA
rnacentral:rRNA from 1 species